AUCCAGCUGACGAGUCCCAAAUGGGACGAAACGCGCGUCGUGGAU
rfam:Schistosoma mansoni strain Puerto Rico chromosome W, complete genome